rnacentral:rRNA from 1 species
UCAUCUUCGGGGGUAGAGCACUGUUUCGGCUAGGGGGUCAUCCCGACUUACCAACCCGAUGCAAACUACGAAUACCGAAGAAUGUUAUCACGGGAGACACACGGCGGGUGCUAACGUCCGUCGUGAAGAGGGAAACAACCCAGACCGCCAGCUAAGGUCCCAAAGUCAUGGUUAAGUGGGAAACGAUGUGGGAAGGCCCAGACAGCCAGGAUGUUGGCUUAGAAGCAGCCAUCAUUUAAAGAAAGCGUAAUAGCUCACUGGUCGAGUCGGCCUGCGCGGAAGAUGUAACGGGGCUAAACCAUGCACCGAAGCUGCGGCAGCGACGCUUAUGCGUUGUUGGGUAGGGGAGCGUUCUGUAAGCCGUUGAAGGUGGCCUGUGAGGGUUGCUGGAGGUAUCAGAAGUGCGAAUGCUGACAUAAGUAACGAUAAUGCGGGUGAAAAACCCGCACGCCGGAAGACCAAGGGUUCCUGUCCAACGUUAAUCGGGGCAGGGUGAGUCGACCCCUAAGGCGAGGCCGAAAGGCGUAGUCGAUGGGAAACAGGUUAAUAUUCCUGUACUUGGUGUUACUGCGAAGGGGGGACGGAGAAGGCUAUGUUGGCCGGGCGACGGUUGUCCCGGUUUAAGCAUGUAGGCGGAUGUUCCAGGUAAAUCCGGAACGUUAUUAACGCUGAGGUGUGAUGACGAGGCACUACGGUGCUGAAGUGACAAAUGCCCUGCUUCCAGGAAAAGCCUCUAAGCAUCAGGUAACAUCAAAUCGUACCCCAAACCGACACAGGUGGUCAGGUAGAGAAUACCAAGGCGCUUGAGAGAACUCGGGUGAAGGAACUAGGCAAAAUGGUGCCGUAACUUCGGGAGAAGGCACGCUGAUGGUAGGUGAAGCGACUUGCUCGUGGAGCUGAAAUCAGUCGAAGAUACCAGCUGGCUGCAACUGUUUAUUAAAAACACAGCACUGUGCAAACACGAAAGUGGACGUAUACGGUGUGACGCCUGCCCGGUGCCGGAAGGUUAAUUGAUGGGGUUAUCCUCGCGGAGAAGCUCUUGAUCGAAGCCCCGGUAAACGGCGGCCGUAACUAUAACGGUCCUAAGGUAGCGAAAUUCCUUGUCGGGUAAGUUCCGACCUGCACGAAUGGCGUAAUGAUGGCCAGGCUGUCUCCACCCGAGACUCAGUGAAAUUGAACUCGCUGUGAAGAUGCAGUGUACCCGCGGCAAGACGGAAAGACCCCGUGAACCUUUACUAUAGCUUGACACUGAACACUGGUCCUUGAUGUGUAGGAUAGGUGGGAGGCUUUGAAGUGUGGACGCCAGUCUGCAUGGAGCCGUCCUUGAAAUACCACCCUUUAAUGGCUGGUGUUCUAACGUGGGCCCGUGAUCCGGGUUGCGGACAGUGUCUGGUGGGUAGUUUGACUGGGGCGGUCUCCUCCUAAAGAGUAACGGAGGAGCACGAAGGUCAGCUAAUCCUGGUCGGACAUCAGGAGGUUAGUGCAAUGGCAUAAGCUGGCUUGACUGCGAGCGUGACGGCGCGAGCAGGUGCGAAAGCAGGUCAUAGUGAUCCGGUGGUUCUGAAUGGAAGGGCCAUCGCUCAACGGAUAAAAGGUACUCCGGGGAUAACAGGCUGAUACCGCCCAAGAGUUCAUAUCGACGGCGGUGUUUGGCACCUCGAUGUCGGCUCAUCACAUCCUGGGGCUGAAGUAGGUCCCAAGGGUAUGGCUGUUCGCCAUUUAAAGUGGUACGCGAGCUGGGUUUAGAACGUCGUGAGACAGUUCGGUCCCUAUCUGCCGUGGGCGCUGGAGAAUUGAGGGGGGCUGCUCCUAGUACGAGAGGACCGGAGUGGACGCAUCACUGGUGUUCGGGUUGUCAUGCCAAUGGCAUUGCCCGGUAGCUAAAUGCGGAAGAGAUAAGUGCUGAAAGCAUCUAAGCACGAAACUUGCCCCGAGAUGAGUUCUCCCUGACUCUUUGAGGGUCCUGAAGGAACGUUGAAGACGACGACGUUGAUAGGCCGGGUGUGUAAGCGCAGCGAUGCGUUGAGCUAACCGGUACUAAUGAACCGUGAGGCUUAACCUU